UUUGGACAAAGGCCAUUGAAUUCUGUAAAAACAGUCUGAAAAUCCAGCACACGAAAAGCCCAACGGUUGUCGCCAAUUCCUUCUCCAAGUAGAUGGCCAUUCGCAGAAGAAUCGCCGAUUCCUGGGAAAGCUUUCGAUGUGAGUUUUGCACACUACUCUGGCUAUGUCACAGUCAAUGAGGAAUUUGGGGGGGCCCUGUUCUAUUUGUUUUGUUGAGGCUGUUGAUGAACCUUCUUCUAAGCCCCUGGUUCUUUGGCUCAAUGGAGGUGAAUCUUUCAACUGGGAAGAUACCCUUUUGCUCUUGCUUUUUCUUUUUUUUUUACUGUUAUUUGCUUUGUGGCCUUGGUUCUGGAUUUUCCCAAGUUGUGUUAAUUGGACAUAGUGUUAGUAAUAGGCAAUAGUUUUCUUGAAAAGUUAUGAUUUUGGAUCAAUGGAGGUGAAUCUUUCGAUUGUAAACAGACCCUUUUGUUUCUGAUGUGAAUUUGAUUUGCUAAGUGGCUUUGGUUCUAGAUUCUCCUAAGUUGUAUGAACUGGAUGGUAGUACCAUCUGUGGGCAAUAAUUACUUCUAAAGUUCUGAUUUUGGCUCAAUGGAGUCUUUCAAGUAGACAAUAUCCUUUUGUUCUUGUCUUUAUCGUGUUGCUUUCAUUGAAGUUCGCUUUGUGGGUGCCUUUAAUUUGGUUCUUAAUUUUCGCUAGUUGUACUAAUUGGAAGCAAAAGGAAUUUGAAAUAUGGCCUUGUUAUUUGUGUCCUUCGGUUUGAGAACUCUAUGCAUUCAACACUACAUUCGAUGCCUAUAUUAAUUCCACAUUAACUAGCUCUAUUUCAGUGGCACCAUGGUUAUUCAGUUUAUGUGCACUUGAGGAUAUUAAAGUAAAGGAUGAAUUACUUAAACAUUUUCCAAAUGCUAAAAGUUCAAAACUUUUCCUAGAAGACGGUUUUGCUUUAGGCAACUAAGGUUUUUGGAAAUUUUAUUUGGAUUGAUGAUUUUAUCUUCUAUAGAUGGUUGGUCAUAUUGGACGGACAUUUGAUCCAUGCACCGAGAAGCAUUCAGUUGUCUACUGCAAUCAACCUGAGGUUUAAAAGGAACUUCAUGUUCACGGUCAAAAGGCACCAUCUAAAUGGGAUACCUGCAGUGUAGUGGUAGAUCUUAACUGGAAGGACUCUCCUACCUCAGUGCUCCACAGCUACCACGAGCUUAUCCAGUCAGGAGUUCGUAUUUUUAUAUUCAGUGGCGAUAUAGAUUCCGUAAUUCCAGUUACAUCUACGGGGUACUGUGUAAAUGCUCUCAACCUUCCUACUGUAGGCCCUUGGCGCACUUGGUUUGAUGACGGACAGGUACAAACAUUCCCACAAGAACUUUUAUUUGGUUUUCAUUUUCUUAUCCUCUGUUCGAAGUCUAAAAGUAAGUAAAACAAGAACUUUGCUCGC